rnacentral:lncRNA from 1 species
GCCCUUAACUUACCACAACUUCCCCAUUCAGUUGCAACCAAUUCCAAUUUCUAUAAAGCUCCAAUCACUUUCCAAUCAGAGGAGGCGAUUUGAUUCUCACCUUCAUCACCCUGAACACUUCAGAACCUUCACUCUCUCUGAACUCAAAUCUCAAUCACACUUCAUUGACUGAAGCUUGCUCCGUCAUCUCCGAUCAAUCUUUCACCUUCAUAUUCGCUCAACUCGACGCUCAUCCUCAUCUCCGAUCAAUCUGCAUCCCUCACUCUGAUCCUCUUCUACCUCACAACAACCUCUCAAGUGUGUGCAGAGAAGAGUAGAAAUAAGAAAAAGGAGAAGAAAUAAAGAAGAACGAGGGAAAUAAGUUCAAAUCACCUAGAAUUCCGACGCUAUUUUCAUCUCCGAUCCACUCCGGUAAGCUCCCUGAGUCGCUCAUCUCAUCUUCCAUUUCUUGAUACCAGUAGCUUGAUUGAGGUAUGAGGACUGUUAUCCCUAAGGUUAGGAAGAGAGCGAGGUCGUAAGCGCCAUUUAAUUUGAUUUGGUAGAUUUAGGGUUCGUGAAGCACUAAGAUCGGUUAGCAACCUAGGCGUAGGAUCUUGAGAAAUUAGAGAGAGAUU